AAAUCCUCAUUGCCGCCGCCAAUGAGCUUGUGGUGCUCAAUUAGCUUGUAAUAGUCGCAAGAGAGCUUCCUGGGUGCAAUCUGACCAACUAAUGAAAAGUUUACAGCCCGCUUUUUCCCCCUUCUCCCUGGCAAGGGAAAGAAGAAUUCCAAUCAAAGUGGGAUGGCCGGGGCGGGGAAAGGAGGAGGGGGCACGCGACCUGCUGGAGAAGACUCUAGAAGGGACGUCUUUGUAAGGUUGACUCCUGCAGAGGGUCCAACUGAAGAAGCGCCUAACUACAGAAGCGCCCAUCUCACUCCCCUGCUGGCUUCUCCACCCUCACGAAGGCCAUGCACAAGGUCCCCCUGUGGCCAGGAAUGGUGGGCUGGGCCCUGGAUGCUUCAGACCAAGCCGGCCCUCCGUGCUCCUCCAUCUCCCUCCGGGACAGGCCAAGGAGUUGGUGACCUCUUUGGAUAAAAAUUAAAGAUAACAUCUUUAGAACUCUGAGGGUUCUCAAGUACAAGAAACUGGGCUUUUAAGCCUCUCUAAGAAUUUCGGGCGGCGGAGGAAGCGCAGGAGGAGGGGAAGCAGGUGCACGCCCACCACGGAGCCCCAUCCAGACGGUCCAGCAGGGACACGCCCAUCAGGAUCCCAAGGAGGAACGCCUUCCUGAAGCCAUUCCUCGUCACCCUAGUCCGUGGGGGCUUCUCCCUCCUGUGAACCACAGCACUGGGGGUCCAUCUCUGCUCCUUGCGGGACCUGAGCACGCCCUGCCCUGCUGGGGACUCAGUCACCCUGGGCCAGACCAACAGCCCCCUGCAGGCAAGGACCAUGGCUGCAGCCCCUCUGCGCUUUCUGCCAGGCUUGCAGGCCGCUGUCUGGUAACUGCUAACUGAUGGAUUCAUUCAUGAACAAUUUCUCCCCAGCAGGGAGCUGCAUGCAGUGACACGGAGUCGUCACCGAGGCCUCUCUGCUGCCCAGUGCUCUGACCUGGGUCCCAUUUGGUUGCCGUGUUUGUCCGGGGAGGAGCGUCCAGCACCUCAGCACACGACUGGGGAAGGUGAGGGUGCUGGAGAGGAAACAUCAAGAGCCUCAUACCAAGUGGUCCUGCUUCACUGGACAGAAUCUGGGAGGCCAGGCAGCCCACUUCGAGACACUGGACGUCUGCAGGGUCACCGGCAACUCAAUGGCCCCAGUCCCCUCGGUUCCGGGAUGCAGCCUGGUCGGCCGCCCCUCUCCUCCCGACACAGCGUCACAGAGGCCUCCCCGGAGCACAGCACCCAGCUGGCCCCCAUGCAGGGGGGACCAGGCAGUUCUCUGCUCCUGCCCCUCCUUUCUGUGCGGGACGGUGGUAGAGAACAGGAGUGGGGAGAAGACACAGCCAAGCUCUCACCGGGGUGGGAGGCCAUAUCCUCACCCACUGGUCUUCCAGAAAGGCUCCCAGACCGUCCUGCCCUCUGCCCUGCAGGGCGAUCAGGGGAGUGACGACCACAGUGACAGCUACACCCAAGUGCACGGGAUGCCAGCAGAGCUGGAGAAGCUGAUGAGCCACAGGCUUGCUCCCUGGGCCCAGGUGCAAAGCCCUGAGCAGGAGCCAAUCACUGACCGCCCCACCAGGGCCCCUGCAGACCAGGCAUCACAGGCCCUGUCUCUGCUCCCCAGUCGCUGAGACGAUCGUCCACUGUGAGCCAUUCAUUUACUUAACACAUAUUUCCCAAGAGACUGCUUUGUGCUGGGCUUGGGGACAUGGCACAGCUCGCUAUGGACACGGUCCUGCCUGCGACCCUGGUCUUCUUGUUGGGACUGUGACUCCCGGGACUGGAGGGAGGUGGGGAGCCCCGCAGGGCCAUUCCUGCCAGGCACCUCCUCACCCACUGGUAUAAGUAACAGACGGCUGAGUUAUAACCUCCGUGCAGGUGACUCUGCUACACAGUGUGGGGGACGUGAAGAUAAACCAGGGUCUGAAGCAGCUUAGGGCCUAGUAAUCAGAAAAGGACAGGUGGCUCCCAGCGAUGACACAAAGAAGGCCACAGGUGCCCUAAGAGGGCAGAUAAACAGCUGUGAGCACGGGCUGGGAGGCGGCUCCCGUUCUGCCCAGACAGACCAUCCUGUGGCUGAGCCAGCCGACUGUAAGCAGAGAAGAGGGGGCCCUCGCGGGCCUGGCUCCGGCCCUCGCCUCGAACAGGCUGAUCUAUUUGAACCGACUCGAGGCAGGUCACGGCCUUUUCUGGAGCUGUGCGGGGAGCUGGACAGAACCAGGCCCGUCGGCGUCCUACCGAUCUUUUAAAAAAUCGCGUAGCUGUUGCCUGGAUCACAGAACCUUGCCAUUCAAAGGGAGGGUCCACACUGGGAGGCAGGUGGGGCUGGCGGGGGAGAGGAGGAGGGGAUUGGCAGGAAGGGGGAACGCCCCCCAAAUAUGGAUCAGGGCAGCUGGCAAAGGAAAUUCGCGCACUGUGGUUACUUUACUACCUAAUUAAUUCAGUCAUUUUAAAAACAAUUUUAUUUAUGUUCCAUUUACCACAUCAAAAGUAAAAAAAAAAAAAAACCUA